AGCGUACACGGUGGAUGCCCUGGCAGUCAGAGGCGAUGAAGGACGUGCUAAUCUGCGAUAAGCGUCGGUAAGGUGAUAUGAACCGUUAUAACCGGCGAUUUCCGAAUGGGGAAACCCAGUGUGAUUCGUCACACUAUCAUUAACUGAAUCCAUAGGUUAAUGAGGCGAACCGGGGGAACUGAAACAUCUAAGUACCCCGAGGAAAAGAAAUCAACCGAGAUUCCCCCAGUAGCGGCGAGCGAACGGGGAGCAGCCCAGAGCCUGAAUCAGUGUGUGUGUUAGUGGAAGCGUCUGGAAAGGCGCGCGAUACAGGGUGACAGCCCCGUACACAAAAAUGCACAUGCUGUGAGCUCGAUGAGUAGGGCGGGACACGUGGUAUCCUGUCUGAAUAUGGGGGGACCAUCCUCCAAGGCUAAAUACUCCUGACUGACCGAUAGUGAACCAGUACCGUGAGGGAAAGGCGAAAAGAACCCCGGCGAGGGGAGUGAAAAAGAACCUGAAACCGUGUACGUACAAGCAGUGGGAGCACGCUUAGGCGUGUGACUGCGUACCUUUUGUAUAAUGGGUCAGCGACUUAUAUUCUGUAGCAAGGUUAACCGAAUAGGGGAGCCGAAGGGAAACCGAGUCUUAACUGGGCGUUAAGUUGCAGGGUAUAGACCCGAAACCCGGUGAUCUAGCCAUGGGCAGGUUGAAGGUUGGGUAACACUAACUGGAGGACCGAACCGACUAAUGUUGAAAAAUUAGCGGAUGACUUGUGGCUGGGGGUGAAAGGCCAAUCAAACCGGGAGAUAGCUGGUUCUCCCCGAAAGCUAUUUAGGUAGCGCCUCGUGAAUUCAUCUCCGGGGGUAGAGCACUGUUUCGGCAAGGGGGUCAUCCCGACUUACCAACCCGAUGCAAACUGCGAAUACCGGAGAAUGUUAUCACGGGAGACACACGGCGGGUGCUAACGUCCGUCGUGAAGAGGGAAACAACCCAGACCGCCAGCUAAGGUCCCAAAGUCAUGGUUAAGUGGGAAACGAUGUGGGAAGGCCCAGACAGCCAGGAUGUUGGCUUAGAAGCAGCCAUCAUUUAAAGAAAGCGUAAUAGCUCACUGGUCGAGUCGGCCUGCGCGGAAGAUGUAACGGGGCUAAACCAUGCACCGAAGCUGCGGCAGCGACGCUGAUGCGUUGUUGGGUAGGGGAGCGUUCUGUAAGCCUGUGAAGGUGUGCUGUGAGGCAUGCUGGAGGUAUCAGAAGUGCGAAUGCUGACAUAAGUAACGAUAAAGCGGGUGAAAAGCCCGCUCGCCGGAAGACCAAGGGUUCCUGUCCAACGUUAAUCGGGGCAGGGUGAGUCGACCCCUAAGGCGAGGCCGAAAGGCGUAGUCGAUGGGAAACAGGUUAAUAUUCCUGUACUUGGUGUUACUGCGAAGGGGGGACGGAGAAGGCUAUGUUGGCCGGGCGACGGUUGUCCCGGUUUAAGCGUGUAGGCUGGUUUUCCAGGCAAAUCCGGAAAAUCAAGGCUGAGGCGUGAUGACGAGGCACUACGGUGCUGAAGCAACAAAUGCCCUGCUUCCAGGAAAAGCCUCUAAGCAUCAGGUAACAUCAAAUCGUACCCCAAACCGACACAGGUGGUCAGGUAGAGAAUACCAAGGCGCUUGAGAGAACUCGGGUGAAGGAACUAGGCAAAAUGGUGCCGUAACUUCGGGAGAAGGCACGCUGAUAUGUAGGUGAAGUCCCUUGCGGAUGGAGCUGAAAUCAGUCGAAGAUACCAGCUGGCUGCAACUGUUUAUUAAAAACACAGCACUGUGCAAACACGAAAGUGGACGUAUACGGUGUGACGCCUGCCCGGUGCCGGAAGGUUAAUUGAUGGGGUUAGCGCAAGCGAAGCUCUUGAUCGAAGCCCCGGUAAACGGCGGCCGUAACUAUAACGGUCCUAAGGUAGCGAAAUUCCUUGUCGGGUAAGUUCCGACCUGCACGAAUGGCGUAAUGAUGGCCAGGCUGUCUCCACCCGAGACUCAGUGAAAUUGAACUCGCUGUGAAGAUGCAGUGUACCCGCGGCAAGACGGAAAGACCCCGUGAACCUUUACUAUAGCUUGACACUGAACAUUGAGCCUUGAUGUGUAGGAUAGGUGGGAGGCUUUGAAGUGUGGACGCCAGUCUGCAUGGAGCCGACCUUGAAAUACCACCCUUUAAUGUUUGAUGUUCUAACGUUGACCCGUAAUCCGGGUUGCGGACAGUGUCUGGUGGGUAGUUUGACUGGGGCGGUCUCCUCCUAAAGAGUAACGGAGGAGCACGAAGGUUGGCUAAUCCUGGUCGGACAUCAGGAGGUUAGUGCAAUGGCAUAAGCCAGCUUGACUGCGAGCGUGACGGCGCGAGCAGGUGCGAAAGCAGGUCAUAGUGAUCCGGUGGUUCUGAAUGGAAGGGCCAUCGCUCAACGGAUAAAAGGUACUCCGGGGAUAACAGGCUGAUACCGCCCAAGAGUUCAUAUCGACGGCGGUGUUUGGCACCUCGAUGUCGGCUCAUCACAUCCUGGGGCUGAAGUAGGUCCCAAGGGUAUGGCUGUUCGCCAUUUAAAGUGGUACGCGAGCUGGGUUUAGAACGUCGUGAGACAGUUCGGUCCCUAUCUGCCGUGGGCGCUGGAGAACUGAGGGGGGCUGCUCCUAGUACGAGAGGACCGGAGUGGACGCAUCACUGGUGUUCGGGUUGUCAUGCCAAUGGCACUGCCCGGUAGCUAAAUGCGGAAGAGAUAAGUGCUGAAAGCAUCUAAGCACGAAACUUGCCCCGAGAUGAGUUCU
rnacentral:rRNA from 1 species